CUCAAUUGGAUUUUGCAGGAAUCGCCGGAGGGAGAAGCUAUGGUGAUGAUUUCAUCAACUCCUCUCUAUCCAAGACUUACAGUUCUAUACGUGAAACAAAAGUGCAAACGAUCGUUAUGUUGCUCACUGAGUGAAGAACCAAAAGACCAAAGGUAGACUGUGAAGACUUGCAAAAGAUAGUCGCUUGAAAUCUUUGUUCACUGUUACACGAUGAACCACACUCUUGUAUAUGCCAUUGCU